AGAGCGAACGCUGGCGGCAGGCUUAACACAUGCAAGUCGAACGGGCAUAGCAAUAUGUCAGUGGCAGACGGGUGAGUAACGCGUGGGAACGUACCUUUUGGUUCGGAACAACACAGGGAAACUUGUGCUAAUACCGGAUAAGCCCUUACGGGGAAAGAUUUAUCGCCGAAAGAUCGGCCCGCGUCUGAUUAGCUAGUUGGUAGGGUAAUGGCCUACCAAGGCGACGAUCAGUAGCUGGUCUGAGAGGAUGAUCAGCCACAUUGGGACUGAGACACGGCCCAAACUCCUACGGGAGGCAGCAGUGGGAAUAUUGGACAAUGGGCGAAAGCCUGAUCCAGCCAUGCCGCGUGAGUGAUGAAGGCCUAGGGUUGUAAAGCUCUUUGUGCGGAAGAUAAUGACGGUACCGCAAGAAUAACGCCCGGCUAACUUCGCGCCAGCAGCCGC
rnacentral:rRNA from 1 species